CCUACGGGAGGCAGCAGUGGGGAAUAUUGCACAAUGGGGAAACCCUUAUGCAGCGACGCCGCGUGAGUGAAGAAGGAAUUCGUUAUUGAAAGCUCUAUCAGCAGGGAAGAAAAAGACGGUACCUGAGGAAGAAGCCCCGGCUAACUACGUGCCAGCAGCCGCGGGAAAACGUAGGGGGCAAGCGUUAUCCGGAUUUACUGGGUGUAAAGGGAGCGUAGACGGCAGUGCAAGGCUGGAGUGAAAGGCGGGGGCUCAACCCCCGGACUGCUAUGGAAACUGUACGGCUGGAGUGCAGGAGAGGUAAGUGGAAUGCCUAGUGUAGCGGUGAAAUGCGUAGAUAUUAGGAGGAACACCAGUGGCGAAGGCGGCUUACUGGACUGUAACUGACGUUGAGGCUCGAAAGCGUGGGGAGCAAACAGGAUUAGAUACCCUGGUAGUC
rnacentral:rRNA from 1 species